CUGAGCAAGGUUGGAUGGGAUCAGUUCCCUAAAAGAAACCCAUGGAGCUUUUACCGGAAGAAAAGUAAGAGGUCUUCCUGGUGCCGAUCUGUGCUUGGAGGAGUGCCCUGACUCUGGCUCCCAGUGGUGUUGGCUUCCCCUGAUGAAGCUAAUACUUGGACCCAAUCUGGCUGAAGCAGCUUUGAAUUUAGGCUCCAAAGCUACAUGAGAAAUUUAUGUGUGGUUGGCUUGCAAAGAUAAGUUUUUGACCUGUAGCCCAAACCAUGUGUGCCUUGAAAUGUGGCUGGUUCAAACUGAGAUGUGUUAUAAAUAUAAAAUACACAUAAGAUUUCAAAGACUUAUUACAAAAAGAAUGUAAAAUGCCUCUUUAAUAAUUUUUUACGUUAAUUACAUGUAGAAAUGAUAAGAUUUGGAAUAUGCU
ensembl:lncRNA